rnacentral:rRNA from 1 species
GAUGAACGCUGGCGGCGUGCUUAACACAUGCAAGUCGAACGGAAAGGCCAGUGCUUGCACUGGUACUCGAGUGGCGAACGGGUGAGUAACACGUGGGUGAUCUGCCCUGCACUUCGGGAUAAGCCUGGGAAACUGGGUCUAAUACCGGAUAGGACAAUGGUUUGGAUGCCGUUGUGGAAAGUUUUUUCGGUGUGGGAUGAGCUCGCGGCCUAUCAGCUUGUUGGUGGGGUAAUGGCCUACCAAGGCGUCGACGGGUAGCCGGCCUGAGAGGGUGUACGGCCGCAUUAGGAGGGAGAUGAGGGCCAGAGUACUACGGGAGGCAGAAGUGGGGAAUAUUGCACAAUGGGCGCAAGCGUGAUGCAGCGAGGCCGCGUGGGGGAUGACGGCCUUCGGGUUGUAAACUCCUUUCGCUAGGGACGAAGCGUAUUUGUGACGGUACCUGGAGAAGAAGCACCGGCUAACUACGUG